GACGAACGCUGGCGGCGUGCUUAACACAUGCAAGUCGAACGGAAAGGCCCUGCUUUUGUGGGGUGCUCGAGUGGCGAACGGGUGAGUAACACGUGAGUAACCUGCCCUUGACUUUGGGAUAACUUCAGGAAACUGGGGCUAAUACCGGAUAGGAGCUCCUGCUGCAUGGUGGGGGUUGGAAAGUUUCGGCGGUUGGGGAUGGACUCGCGGCUUAUCAGCUUGUUGGUGGGGUAGUGGCUUACCAAGGCUUUGACGGGUAGCCGGCCUGGGAGGGUGACCGGCCACAUUGGGACUGAGAUACGGGCCAGACUCCUACGGGAGGCAGCAGUGGGGAAUAUUGCACAAUGGGCGGAAGCCUGAUGCAGCAACGCCGCGUGCGGGAUGACGGCCUUCGGGUUGUAAACCUCUUUCGCCUGUGACGAAGCGUGAGUGACGGUAAUGGGUAAAGAAGCACCGGCUAACUACGUG
rnacentral:rRNA from 1 species